UAAACGUCCCAGUUCGGACUGUAGUCUGCAACCCGACUACACGAAGCUGGAAUCGCUAGUAAUCGCGAAUCAGAAUGUCGCGGUGAAUACGUUCCCGGGUCUUGUACACACCGCCCGUCACACCAUGAGAGUUGGGAAUACCCGAAGCCUGUGAGCUAACGAAAGAGGCAGCAGUCGAAGGUAGAAUCAAUGAUUGGGGUGAAGUCGUAACAAGGUAUC
rnacentral:rRNA from 1 species